rnacentral:rRNA from 1 species
GAUGAACGCUAGCGGCAGGCUUAACACAUGCAAGUCGAGGGGUAUUGGUUUUCGGACCAAGAGACCGGCGCACGGGUGCGUAACGCGUAUGCAAUCUACCUUUUGCAGAGGGAUAGCCCCAGAGAAAUUUGGAUUAAUACCUCAUAGUAUAGUACUUUGGCAUCAAGGAACUAUUAAAGUCACAACGGCAAAAAGAUGAGCAUGCGUCCCAUUAGCUAGUUGGUAAGGUAACGGCUUACCAAGGCUACGAUGGUAGGGGUCCUGAGAGGGAGAUCCCCCACACUGGUACUGAGACACGGACCAGACUCCUACGGGAGGCAGCAGUGGGGAAUUUUGGACAAUGGGCGCAAGCCUGAUCC